rnacentral:rRNA from 1 species
GCGAGGCCGAAAGGCGUAGUCGAUGGGAAACAGGUUAAUAUUCCUGUACUUGGUGUUACUGCGAAGGGGGGACGGAGAAGGCUAUGUUAGCCGGGCGACGGUUGUCCCGGUUUAAGCAUGUAGGCUGGUUGUCCAGGCAAAUCCGGAUAAUCAAGGCUGAGGUGUGAUGACGAGGCACUACGGUGCUGAAGUAACAAAUGCCCUGCUUCCAGGAAAAGCCUCUAAGCAUCAGGUAACAUCAAAUCGUACCCCAAACCGACACAGGUGGUCAGGUAGAGAAUACCAAGGCGCUUGAGAGAACUCGGGUGAAGGAACUAGGCAAAAUGGUGCCGUAACUUCGGGAGAAGGCACGCUGGUGUGUAGGUGA